rnacentral:rRNA from 1 species
UACGGAGGAUGCAAGCGUUAUCCGGAAUGAUUGGGCGUAAAGCGUCCGCAGGUGGCUAUGUAAGUCUGCUGUUAAAGAGUGAGGCUCAACCUCAUAAGAGCAGUGGAAACUACAUGGCUAGAGUGCGUUCGGGGCAGAGGGAAUUCCUGGUGUAGCGGUGAAAUGCGUAGAUAUCAGGAAGAACACCGGUGGCGAAAGCGCUCUGCUAGGCCGCAACUGACACUGAGGGACGAAAGCGAGGGGAGCGAAUGGG